UAUGCAGUCGAGCGGUACAGAAAGUAGCUUGCUACUUUGCUGACGAGCGGCGGACGGGUGAGUAAUGCUUGGGAACAUGCCUUGAGGUGGGGGACAACAGUUGGAAACGACUGCUAAUACCGCAUAAUGUCUACGGACCAAAGGGGGCUUCGGCUCUCGCCUUUAGAUUGGCCCAAGUGGGAUUAGCUAGUUGGUGAGGUAAUGGCUCACCAAGGCGACGAUCCCUAGCUGGUUUGAGAGGAUGAUCAGCCACACUGGGACUGAGACACGGCCCAGACUCCUACGGGAGGCAGCAGUGGGGAAUAUUGCACAAUGGGCGCAAGCCUGAUGCAGCCAUGCCGCGUGUGUGAAGAAGGCCUUCGGGUUGUAAAGCACUUUCAGUCAGGAGGAAAGGUUAGUAGUUAAUACCUGCUAGCUGUGACGUUACUGACAGAAGAAGCACCGGCUAACUCCGUGCCAGCAGCCGCGGUAAUACGGAGGGUGCGAGCGUUAAUCGGAAUUACUGGGCGUAAAGCGUACGCAGGCGGUUUGUUAAGCGAGAUGUGAAAGCCCCGGGCUCAACCUGGGAACUGCAUUUCGAACUGGCAAACUANAGUGUGAUAGAGGGUGGUANAAUUUCANGUGUAGCGGUGAAAUGCGUANAGAUCUGAANGAAUACCGAUGGCNAANGCAGCCACCUGGGUCAACACUGACNCUCAUG
rnacentral:rRNA from 1 species